CAGGGCAUGAGACCUUUCAGAGGUGGUUUGCCAUUGCCUGCCUCUGCAGGGUGACCCUGGUCUUCCUCGGCGGUCUCCCAUCCGAAUGCUACCAGGGCUGACCCUUCUUAGCUUC